CGGAGCCAAAAUAUAUGCAAAGAAAGCAGCACCUGGAAUAUAGUACUCUCAAAAAUCAAAGGAUUAAGAAUUCCAAUGCAUCUAAACGGGUUCAAUCUCAGUGAAGUUAAAAUUAGAUAAUACAUUCAACUCAAUCAAGCUCAACUAGUUGAGCUCUUCUCUCUGCAGCUUUCUUUCUUACAAAUAUCCCCCAGCGCAGAGCUGCUUUCAGCUUAAGCCAUCCCACAACAGCCUUCCCUGAACCCCUGCCGCGUUCCUGUGUGUAUGCUUGAUCCAUCUGAGGCUCAUAUGCUUGAAUGCUGUAAGAGUAACAAGCCUCAUCAGGAUGACCAAAACCACUACCCAUUCCAACCCCAACUCCCAUACUGAACGUUUUCAGAAGUCUCUGCAUGUCAUCACUCUCUAACAUCUCUGAACUCCUGAGCCGGAUUUCUUCAGCAAAGAAGUCUUCUGAUCCCUGCCCAUUCCUCGGUUGAGACCAGUCUCCUGCAAUAUAAGCACCCCCAGCAGGAGUUCCAAUUGACAUGUGAUCCAUGCCACCACCAGCUAAUGCUGCCUGUGGAUUAUUUAGGGUCGUGACUGCAUUAUGAUCAGGCCUCACAAAUGGAAAUUCAAUUAACUGAGGAACUGAUGUGUGGUUAUUUACAGAUUGGCUUUGCGAACAUUGUUCGGAUGAGAUAUAUUGCUGCUGCCUGUUGUGGUUAGAAGUAAUAUACUGAUUUGUGUCAUAGUUGUUUAUUAUGGGUGCAACUGAGGCUCUUUCCCUGUUCUUAGUACUAGUUAGGGAGUUCAGGACUUUGCCAUCAUAUUCUAUGACUUGCUGCCAAUUUUCAUAUGCUCGCUUUACCAGAGAAUCCACUGAUACCUUCUGAUUGUGGUUAAGCGAUUCCAAAGGGAGGAACUGCCCAUCAGUAAUGAGGCCUCUGAGUUCAUAAAUAUGGUUGAAAACAACACCAGUGCUGUGAGCCACAUCUGAGAAGUAAACGUAAACCUUCCCCCCCAAAACACAGGUCUUAGCGUGCUCCACAGUAUUCUCCCACAUCCUAUUGGACAUUCCACUUCCAAGUAUAUUUCUCAAUUUCUGUGGAUCCCGCAUAAGAAGCCGAAGAAAAUCUUCAACUGUUACAAUUUUAGCCUUUACCAGUUUUUUGUGGAGUGCUCCAUCCUUUGCUAUUCUGUCCAAUCUCCAAACUUCAUCAUUUAAUGCAGGUGGAUAGUGCUUCUUGUAUAAUUCUCCUCGGUGAUCUUUAACAGCAAAUGCCUCUGUUUUAGCCUCACGAACACGAACACCUUCACAAGAUCCAGAAGCAACCUUAACACCAAGCCUGAACUUUCUGCUCCUUAUCCAGCUAGAAUUAUCAGUGAAAGUAAGAUCUCCAAGAGUUCCUACCCCUUCCUUUAGAGUCACUUGUAGAUCCCCAGUCAGGAGAGGCCUUUUCCCUUCACGCUCUUUUACUUCAUGGCCUUCAAAGUGUUCCGCAGUCCAAUCUUCAUCAGCCUCCUCGUUGAAGUCACCUUCAAGAACCACAACAUUCAGUUUGGCAACUGAUUGAGGUCCAGUUUGCAUGACACAGCCUGAGGUAGCAUCUAGCAGGACAACAUGGAUAGCUGCUCCUUGUUCCCCCUCAACCUUCCCACCUGUGAAUAGGUGAGGUGGCAUCCUUGUUCUGAAAUGAAGCUGUAGAUUUCUUCCUUCUGGCCCUUGUAUUUUUGGUGGUGAUCUUGCUGCCAAGUUAGCAUGACCCAUUCUUGUCAGAGCACGCUCCACUUCUUCACUAACCUGUGCAUUCAUUUGAAAUUCCAAAAUCAACAAAAGAAGAACCUCCAGAAUUAAACCAGAUAGAAGGAGAUUGAGCCACAAUAAUGCCAUUGAUAAAUUGAACCAACAGCUACAAAAUAUUGGAUGACAAGAAAACACUCAAAUAUCAUCAAUGAUUUUUGUUUAGCAUUAUGUUGCAUUAAAUCAAAUGGAAAUCAAUGUUUUCUGCACAUCUCUUUCUCCCAACUAUUUCCAUUACAACUAUAAAUAAGAUCUAAUAGGUAACUUCAGCCUUCAGCCAUACCAUACAAUCAUGUAGUAGUAGAUAUAGACCAGCAGCAGUACUAUUAUACCAUUGAAGGGUUCAGAACAACUGUUAAAAUAAUAAAACAAAUAAUUUAUGACUCACGAUUCUGCGAAAUAGAGGCUCCAAAGAUGAGCAAAGUCUUUGCAAACUAUCCACCUUCAAAGCUUCCACAAUAACACUUGCUAAAGCCGGCAUUUUUGCCUUCUUUGGAUCAGGCAAGUGGUCAGCUUCAUCUUCAACACACUGCUCAUAACCCCUUUUCUCUAUACUCCUGCCCCUUGAAUUUUCCAUUUAUAGAAACUAAAAAAAAAAUCCAAAUAUUUUGAUUUAUCUUUCCAAAUAUAGAACACCAAGAUUGUCCUAAAUAUCCACUUAAACUCCAAGAAACAUUACCGCUGCACUGAAAUUUCCAAGAGCGAGAGAGAGAGAUUAAAGACUGAAAAUUUCAGAUCCCAAAAGAAACAGAAAACUGCUUUGGAUGGCAAUUUAUGGAUCUGGGUUAGUGUAAGGAUGGUCAGCUAGUUUUGCAUAGAUGCAAUCCAGGUUGAUAUCUUUUAAUGGUCUAAGAUCUAAAACAGAAUAUAAAAAUGGUUGCUUUUCUUACACUAUAUUAAUGCAAGCAAGGAAGGGAGAAAGACCAAUCACAGACACAGCUGUAUAAGCGCACGAACUUUGAAAGUCUUUGAAACCGCGUUUGUUGGUGAAAUCAAAUGAAACCCUUAUCAUCUGUUGGCAUUUGACCGCUUUUUUGCCUGUUAGAUGAGAAGAAAAGUCGGAUUCCUUGGAGGA
rnacentral:misc_RNA from 1 species